ACAGAGAGAGAGAGACAGAGCACAAGAGAGAGAGAGAGAGAGAGAGAGCCGGCCACCUGACUCAGGUCGGAGCUCCACAUUUUCUGAUUCCACCUCCGAACAUCUGCAGGAAUCACCUGUAGUUUACAGCAGUGUUUAACGGUGUUACAGCAGCAGCAGCAGGAGAGAUGCCCCCCCCCCUCUCUCAGCAUAUACACUGAUCUCGGUAACCAGCUGCCCCCCUGCGCCAUUGCGAUCACGGCUAAAAUGUCGCCAGGAGAAAUUGAGCUGGGCUGCAGGACGGAGGCGGCCAUCGCUGGCGAUUAAUUACAGCACUGUGGUGCUGGCACUUGGGUUACGGCUGAUCCCUCAGCAGGCAGGGCUGCUUCUCAUCUCAGCCUCUCUGUAGCCUUCAAAGGGCUCUCCUCUGCCUGCAAGACUGAACCCAGGCCAGCUCAUUCAGCAUCACACCCUGCCCUUGUGCUGGACAUCAAAUGACCAGCUCGCCCCCCGAGGAGCUCUCAAGUUUCUUCAUUUCAGCAGCCGCCUGGCUCUCCCCUGGUCAGCAGCCGGCCACGCAGGGAGAGGGGACAUCUGCCUGUCUGAGGAUAAGGGACAGGCUGGGCUCUCCAUCCGUCUGUCAGGCCCUCAGACUGGACCCCGCACGUCACCGCUCCGCUCCCUCCUUGUUAUUCUGCGGAGAACGCUGGGAUCUGAUAUGUGGCAUUGUUUGUGCCAUACUGGUCAGAAAGACAGGAGGGGACUGAGGCAAAUGCAGUGAAGGCAUGAUCUGCAACAGAAACAUCCCUGCUUACAACACCAAACCCUGCGUUUGCAUUGUAACAGGAAAUGUAUCGUUUAUUCCAUUUGUGUGACAUGCAUACUAAAACUAGAAGCAAUCUGGCUACAAAUUAAAGUCAUGAAUAGUAGAAAUUGUGAGGCAGUUGUACGCAACAUAUUGUCUUUUCUGCUCUGAAUAAACAUGUUUGUUGUUUACAUUCA